GCUAAACCUUAGGUUAAAUUUUAGAUUGAAACCGUAGGAAAAUACUGGGGGGGAAAUGGUUAAAACAAAACUCACAAUAGCUUCAGAAAAAUAAAAUGAGGCAACUUAACAGGUAUGGUUUUGAAGUUAGGAUUGAUUAUAUUCCUAACACUAGGUUGAACCACAAAGUUCAUUUUAAAUGUUUAUAUUGGAAAUAUUUGCAUAGAGUUUAAAUCAUCCUGUAGUUUCAUAGUCUGUAAAUAUGAGUUAUGUUGACAAUGUGCAAAAUUCUUUAUGCUUUGACUUGGUAGCCAAAGAAAGAAUUGUCACACUUUUUUUAAGGCCAGCAGAAAAUUAUCUUUUAACUACAUUAUAAUUUCUGUUUUCCUCUUUGCUAAAAAUUAGCCAAUCCCAUUUUAUUUCUAGCACUGUUUUAGAGGCUGAUUAAGGAUUUAUAACACAGUAAUGUCUUUGUGUUAUACCAGAAACUGAAUUUUCCUUAAGAAGACAUCCUAACAAAUGUAUAACAGAUGUGAUGCUAUGAAACAAAAAGUAUUUUUUAAAAAUAUCAGUCAGUUAUAAGUGAUGAAAGAAAUAAAUGUAUUUCAUUGUUUGUACAAGCAUCUUAAUAGGAAAGAUGGCCAAAAGUUUCCUAUAAAAAAAUCUGAAGUAUGCCAGUAGCUUAAAUAUUAGUAAGAUAUUUCAUAUUUAAAAAUAUAUUUACAGUGAAUUAUAAUGCAGUUGGAAUUCACCAUUUGAAAACUGAAGUUUUUAACUACUUGGUUAAUUAACACCAUUAGUUUGGGGACUGUUUGAGUAUAGGUGUAUGUUAUUUUCUUGUACAUUCUCUAUUAUUUCAGGAAAAGUACUACUCAUGCGAAUUCUCUUCUGAAAUUGUGAUGUUUCUUGUAUUUUUGAUGAAGGAGAAAUACUGUAAUGAUCACUGUUUACACUAUGUACACUUUAGGCCAGCCCUUUGUAGCGUUAUAUAAAACUGAAGGUCUUUUGUGCUUUCAGUUUGUAUAAAAAAGCUUUGAGAUUAAAGGAAAAAAAAUUUUUACACUGUGGUUAUAAAUUUCAAGUUUCUUAAAGCUUUUGUAGACUUGUAACAAAGUCUUUAAAUUUUAGUUGGAUUUUGUAAAUUGUUUUGUAUAUUUUAUUUAAUGUACUCUUAACAACUGAUGUAUCUGGCUUUAAAACAUCAGAAUCAGUUUGUUGUUUUG
rnacentral:lncRNA from 1 species